rnacentral:lncRNA from 1 species
AUUGAACUCAGGGGCACUUGACCACUGAGCCACAUCCUCAGCCUUAUUUUGUAGUUUAUUUAGAGACAGGGUCUCACUGAGUUGCUUAGUACCUUGCAGUUGCUGAGGCUGGUUUUGAACUCGCAAUUCUCCUGUCUCAGCCUCCCAAGCCCCUGGGAUUGCAGGAGUGCGCCACCACGCCCAGCUAGAGUUAUCACUCUUGAUGUCAAACUUGAUCACCUGGCUGAAGUAAUGUUUGUCGGGUUUCUCCAUAGUAAAGGUACUCUCCUCUUUUGUUCUUUUAAAAAAUAAUUUCCCCAUAUUGUGCUUCCUGCAAAAAAGUCACUAUGCACAGCCUGCACUUAAAGAGUAAAGAGGUAUGGAGCAGCUCUGUGAGGGGGAAUUUGUCUGCAAAGGAGGUUUGUCUCUUCUCCUCCAUAUAUUUAUGUAAUCAUUGAUUUAUAUCAAUAUGGACUCCAGUUAUUUUUCACUUUGUGUUAUAAUCCAAUACAAAUUUAUUUAUUUCCCUACUCAACUAUUCCAGUUUUGACCAUUGGAAGCUUUUUAGAUGGUGCCUAUGAACUAAAAGAACAAGAAAAUGUAUGUAUGUAUAAUAACCCUAUAUGUACACAUAUCUAUCUACACAUGUUAUGAUUUGGAUUGGGGUGUCCCUCAAAAGCUCACAUGUAAGACAGCGCAAAAAGGUUCAGAGGAGAAAUGAGUCUUAAACCAAUCAGUGAUUUAAUCCCCUGAAUGGGAUUAACUGAAUGGUAACUGAAGUGGUAAGGUGUGGCUGGAGGGGGUGGGAAUUAGGGUGUGGCUUUGGGACAUAUUUGUAUCUGGUGAGUGGCUGCUCUUUCUCUCUGCUUUCUGAUCAGCACAUGAGCUGUUUCCCUCUGUCACACUCUUCCACCAUGAUGUUCCGCCUUACCUGGAGCCCUGAGGAAUAGAACCGACCUUUUAUGGACUAAGACUUCUGAAACCAUGAGGCCUCAAAAAACUUUUCCUCUUUUAAAAUUGUUCUGGUCAGGUCCUUUGGUCACAGCAGCCCAAAAGCUGCCUAAAACACACGCUUAUAUAUGUUACCAGAUAUAUCUGUAUUAAGCUGAACAUGAGUUCACACUCAACUCUAGUGCAUUACCAGUCAGUGUUAUUUUAUUUAACAGGAAUAGAGGGAGAAAAUAAAAGGAGAAGGAAAAAUAGGCAAAACAAUGUUCCUAUUUUGGGGUUGAUGGGACCAUAGACUACACUGAGCUCUCAGAGGAUGUAAACAAGUACUUCAACAGAAAAAUAAGCUACAUUCAUUAGUAGAAAUUUUCAGAUUUAGUAUUUAGUAGGGAUACACUUCAAAGGCUUUUGAUGUAACAUGCAAAAAAAAAAAAUGGAUACCUUGUAAUUGAAGUCCAACAUUUUCAAUAGGAUAAGAGAGAUGUGAGGAUCCUGUCACCUUAGAGAGAAAUCUCAACACAGGCCUAUUGGGAGGAAGUUGCAAUAAAAAAUGUCCCAGCCUAGCCUAGCCUCAUUGUCUUCCUACAGGCCACUACUCCUGAUGACCACUGGAAGUUCCUCUAGGACAGACUGUCAUAGCUAUUAUUCCCCUAAAAGCUAAAGGUCCUGUAGGAAUAGGAGGACAGAACAUAGGGUCUAGAACAGAAAGAAACUGAAUUGGAGGAUCACCUCCAUCAUUAUCAGUAGUGUAAGUAUCCUAAGUUCUUUAAACCUUAGUUUUCUCAUUAGUGAAUAGGGAAAUAAUUCCUGCAGUAUUUAGUGUUUAGGAACAGUGUUAUGAUCAAGAAAAAAUGUGAAAUGUCAAAGUAAUUUGUGAACUGAUAAAAAUUCAAUAAAUGUUAUUCCUUAUAUUGUCUUCAGUGGGAGGAGACCACUGGUACUUGGAGGGGGCAUACAUAGCACAGUGGUCAAGAAUGUGAGCACUAAGCUCUGGAGGACAUCAGAUAACUCUAUCCCAAUUGAGUGAUCAGAGGAGGCUGUCCGCUGGGAAGACCUCUCCUAAGGUUCUGGGAGAGACUCUAAAAUGCAUGAAAUUUAUCAAAUAAGACAUUUUACUACAAUCAAAUUAGCUUACUUUCUUUGUCUGUUUUGACUUUUCUUCAUGUCAGAUGGUUGUUGGAGGAGCUGUGGACAUUUCUGAGAUGUGGCUAAAAGGAAUUUGAUUUCGGAAUUCAAUGUGCAUUGAUAUAGAAGGAUGUAUGUAUGUAUGUAUGUGGUUCACAAUUAUUUCCAUGUGGAGUUAAUUUGUUGCCUAAUACUUUGAAGGAAUACCAGGAAUAAUUCUAACUCUUCAUUUGUGCUGACUUAAACAGCAUCAAGACAUAAAAAUAAAGGACUGGAAGUCUUCUUAUGAUAUGAAUGUGUACUAUGGAAAAAUUUUUGAAGACUGUGGAGGUAUUUACGGAGGUUUCUUGAAUAGGAAAACUUGCAAUCUUAUAAUUCAUAUGAGAAAGAAACUUGGAAAAGUUUUUCCGCAUACAUCACAUUACUGAAACAAAUUGGGAAACCAAAAAAAAUGUGCUGAAGUAUUAAUAAUAAAAGACAAAUUUUGGUUAAUCAUAUUGGAAGGAAAAUUAACUGAUCUCAAUUUUUUCCCCUAGAAAAUAAUAUUACAAAAUCUUUGUCAUUGUGAAAUUGAUUCAAGACCGUGAGGACUAUGAAGUUAAAUUUCAGGAAAAAAGAUAGGUACCAUGCAGCUAGUUAGUUAACAUUAUGCUAUUUCCUAGAUUUUGUGAUGUUUGUGGUCAUGCUAGCUUUAAAAAAAAAAUUAAUGUUAGGCACCAGGGAAUAUGUGCCUACCCACAUGCCUACCCCAUGUUUGCUUCUUUGGGAAUCCUGCCAAGUCUGUAACAAGUAGCUGUGGAAGGAGAUGGAUUUCUGUGAUGCACAAAAAUGUAGGACUGAAUAUAGAUUUUCUUUUAGAGUCUUUGUAUUUCAGGAAACUUCUCUUGUGAAGUAAGGCUAUACAGCUCCAAAAGUCAUGCUUUCAGAGUUCUCUUCCUAUCAAUUCUGGGCUCCUAGAGCUUCCUUCUGUUUGGGCAGCUUCCUCCCACAUUGGUCUGGAAGAACAUAUGACUCCUGGGGACCCACCUUACUACUUGGAGCCACUUUGGCAGUUUGUCACUACUGGAAAUAGGAGACUUGGACUUGCUGGUUCCAGUUGUGCUGAUAUAUAGAUUCCCCUGUGCAGUCAUCACUCAUUCAUGUAAUAAAGCAUUUCAUGUUAGUGUAAAAUAACUUUUAUGCUCAUAGGUUGAUCCUUGGAACAAAUGUUUUGAGGUUUCUGCAAAAGAACUGGCAGUGCUAGAAAUCUGAAUCAUGUGAGUACUCUGUCACUCACUAAUUUGGUUCUGAAAUCUAUAGAAACCUGCAAAUCAUUCCAGUAUUAUAAUUUCUUUUUCUUUUUUGGUACUGGGGACUGAACCCAGGAAAGCUUAAUCACUGCACAUAUCCCCAGCCCUUUUUAUUUUGUUUAUUUUGAGACAGGUUCUCACUAAGUUGAUAAAGGCCUUGCUAAAUUGCUGAGGUUGGCUUUGAGCUUGUGAUCCUCCUGCCUCAGUCUCUCAAGCCGCUAGGAUUACAGGCAUGCCCAGUAUUAUAACUUCUAACCUGGUUUUUCUUCAAAUUAUUCAUG